rnacentral:rRNA from 1 species
GAUCCUGGCUCAGGAUGAACGCUAGCUACAGGCUUAACACAUGCAAGUCGAGGGGCAGCAUGGUCUUAGCUUGCUAAGGCCGAUGGCGACCGGUGCACGGGUGAGUAACACGUAUCCAACCUGCCGUCUACUCUUGGACAGCCUUCUGAAAGGAAGAUUAAUACAAGAUGGCAUCAUGAGUUCACAUGUUCACAUGAUUAAAGGUAUUCCGGUAGACGAUGGGGAUUCG